UGAUGAGGCCCAGCUGGCUAAUAGGAAGUGUUCUCGUUGGUGUCGCUAGAAAUCACCAGAAUGACAGUCUUCGACAAGUUAAAAGACAACUGGUUUCUUUUGGCUAUAACUAUUGUUAUAUUCUUGGCAGAUUUGGCACCAUUUAUUGGAGCCAAAGGAGGACCUUUGAGGCCAGAGAUCACCGUCAAGUACUUUGCAGUUUCCUUUAUCUUCUUCAACAGCGGGUUAUCACUAAAAACAGAAGACCUUCGCGCAGCACUACUCCAUGUCCGGUUACACGUCUUCAUUCAGGGAUUUACCCUUGUCUUUAUACCAUGCCUUGUGUGGGUCUUGGUCCACUUUCUGAUGCUGACACCAGUGGAUGCGUGGCUUCUUAAAGGGUUGCAAGUUGUCGGCUGUAUGCCGCCACCUGUGUCAUCAGCUGUGAUCCUGACCAAAGCUGCAGGAGGCAAUGAGGCAGGAGCAAUAUUCAACUCGGCAUUUGGAAGUUUCUUAGGUAUUGUCGUCACCCCAGUCUUGCUGCUGGUGUCCAUGGCAUCAUCCAGUUCAGUUCCGUUUUCUUCCAUCUUCACUCAGCUGUCCAUCACAGUCGUCGUGCCUCUCCUCGUAGGGCAGGUUUUAAGACGGUUCAUCAAGGAGUGGCUAGAGAGAACCAAGCCACCCUUCGGCACUCUCGGCAAGGCUGUCCUGCUUCUUAUCAUCUACUCUACGUUCUGUGACACGUUCUCCAACACAGCACUGCAUAUAGACCACCUCAGCUUAUGUGCAAUGGUGUUCAUAGUGUUUAUUCUGCAAGUAUGCCUUAUAUCCUUCACCUUCUUCAUCUCACAAGUGCAAUUUUUUGGAUUCACUCCAAGCGACACGGUAGCAAUCAUGUUUUGUGCUACCCACAAAUCUCUGACACUGGGCAUCCCCAUGUUGAAGAUUAUCUUUGCCGGUUACGAGCACCUGUCCCUCAUCUCCAUCCCCCUCCUAGUCUACCAUCCCACCCAGAUCCUUCUCGGUGGCUUGCUGGUGGGGCGAGUCAAGCAGUGGAUGCUCGCAGCUGAGAAACAGAGGAUAACACCAUCAUCACUACCCAAAUAGAUAGACUCAUGCGUUGCUUUCUCUUGGUCCUUUAAAGGGGCUUCUAACAUUGCUGUAAAAAGAGAUGGAAAAUGGAGAGCCGUCCCUCAACACCACCUCUGACGGCAGCAACUCAAGAGACUCCAUAUAAAGUUAAAAUAUUUA
rnacentral:misc_RNA from 1 species